GCCGCCCUCCUGCCUCGCACGGAUGGACGCUUGCGAGAGGAGCCGGGUCUGCAGGCCCCGCCUCCUGACCUUCCAGGCCUCCUGCGCUUCGGUCCCCAUCACCCAAGACAGUUGCCUGCGGGACCAGGGCCCCAGUUGCCUGCGCGCCUACGCGGGCCUGGCACCGCGAUCACCCCCAACUACGUGGACAACGCGAGUGCGCGCGUGGCUCCCUGGUGCGACUGCAGAGCCAGCGGAAACCGGCGUGAGGAGUGCGAAGCCUUCCAGGGGCUCUUUACAAGGAACCGCUGCUUGGAUGGUGCCAUACAAUCCUUUGACAGCCAAUGGCCCUCAAUCCUGCAGGACCAGCUGGGUUCCCACCACGACCCUGGGCAGCGCCUCCUACAGGUACCCUCUGCAGACAGGCCCCUGGAAGGGAGCUCCCUGCAGUCCAUACUCCCUGUCCUGGUUCUCCAGGCCCUGCUCUGACUAGGACAGCAGACAUUGGACCCCACAGCUGACUGCACACACUGCUGGGGUACAGGACAAUGUCUCUGGUUUAUUGCCCUCUGAAAGGGACUGGCUAGCUCUCCCACCUGUCCUUUGCCCAUCUGGACACCUGUGUGCCUAUGCCCUGGAGUGAGGGUUGGAGGCUGGGGUCCUGGCUGCAAAGCCCCUGAUUUUCUAUCAGUAGUCUUGGUUGUAGGUCCCUUUCUUCACAGACCUUGAGACAACUGGAUUCUCUCACUGGGGAUGCACAGGAGAGGGUCACCUUUGCAGCUGAGGCCUCACUAGCAUCCCCAGAUCUAAAGAAGGUCAGAGACCAUCCGGACUCCUGGAACUCUAGGAAACUGUGUUGGCCUCUCAAGCAGGUAGCACCCUAAGGAAUGCAUGGGAGCAGACUCCCUCUAGCACAGCCCGCCUUUGAGGGCACCCUCCCACUUAGGCAAUACCUGUGCCCCAGAACUAAUGUUGGCAGAUUGCUUCCUGUCCACGAUAUGCUGCUUGGUGGGCAUCCC
ensembl:lncRNA